rnacentral:lncRNA from 1 species
GAUUGCCAAUUGGGCAUUGACAAUCCGCUAAGGUUAGUAUGUGUUGUGUUGACUCAAUCGUGAGUAUGACUAGUCUCAAGUCAUUUGGUGUUGGACACUAAGACAAACACAUAGGUGCUCGAAAGAGUAAUCAAGUACUGAACUACGAUCAAAAGAGAGUUCAAACAUACAUGUCAUGUAUGAACUCUAAAGUUACAAUAUGCAAAGUAGUCCUUUGACCUGAGGCAUCAUAGAUGUCUAAUGG